GCUGAAGAUUAUGACCAAUCAAUCUAAGAUUACAGGAGAUUAUAUUUGAUUAAUUAUGCCAAUCUGUGAUUGGAUUUGAUUUGAUGUAUCUUCUCUUUCUUUUCAUUAAUUAGAUAUUCAAUGUAUUAUAAAUAGGGACUUAUACAAUGUAAAUGAACACAGAAGAAUACGUAAGAAAUUACAAGUAUUCUCUUAUUCUUGGCCUAUUUUUCCAACUCUGACAUGGUAUCAGAGCCACCCUCUCCAACCUAGCUUCCGCAAUUCUACGAAUUGCCUCUGUCCUCUUUCUGUUUUGCUUUUGCAAAUCAAAUCCUGCAAAACAAAUAAGCCAAUAGUAGAAAUUCACCAUUAGACAUAUCAUUGCCAAGAACACCGAAGGAAACACUCCAGUAGAAGAAACCCCAGAUUCACCUCAAAGCAGAAUUCAGCCUUGGUUGACUCAACUGAAGAGGCGCAUUCCACGACCCAAAACACUGCUAAUCCAGUUCUUGCUCCAGCAAACGUUUCCGGCCUAGCCCAAUGGCCACCAGUCCCGUGAUUCCCUUUUUAGGGCCCAUUGGGAAUUGGGCCAAAUCAGCCAGGGGCUUCAUACGGCACAUCUGAAGAAGGUUUUCGAGUUCUGGAGCCCAGCCCACUAAAGGAGGUUAGAUUCCUCAUAAUGCUAGGAUAGGCCAGGUGGGCUCAGGCCCAGGACCUGAAUCCUAUUCGUCGGAUCAGGGAGCAAAUCCCUACUUGAAUAUGGGACCCGGAUUUCUGCCCUUUGUCGUUCCAGUUAUCAGCGACCGACCGAAGCCUAGCGACCCACUUUACACAUCGCUAGACGACAGCCCCGAGCUACGGCUCAUCUCCUUACAGCUCAUCGGACCAGAAAAUUACAAUACGUGGGCUCAAGAUCUAUGGCGAGCGUUGGUGACAAACGACAAAGACGAGUUCAUCAACAGAACUGUGGCCUUCCCGUCUGACGAGCGCUUGCAACGACAUUGGUGCAGAUGCAACCAGCUUGUGUGAACGUGGAUCAGUAAUUAUUGGCUCUCGAGGUGGCCAUCGGACUUCCACCAACCGAGAAUUCGAAGACGAUAUGGGAUAACAUCUGCAAGAUGUACGGAAAACUCGACUAGGCCAAGAUCUUCUCGCUCACCCAAGCCGCGUCUGAACUGAAACAAGGAAAUCAGUUCGUUACAACGUGUUUCAGCUGGCUUUCAGCCCUCUGGAAUGAACUCAAAGCUACUGAGGAGAAGCUUGAGGGACUGAAAGAAACGCUUUGACAAUAUCGGGCCGUACGAGAAAGGGAAAAGGCAACUCGGUUCUUACUAAUCUUAAAUGAAAGCUACUCACAUUUCAGGUCGCAAAUACUUGCAAUGGAGUCACCGCCACCGCUCAGGCGGAUCUACCAAUUGGCGGUCCAAGGGGAGUGCCAGAGGAUGGCAGCGGUUGGGCAUGCACGAAUCGGAGAUGGAGUCGCCUUCGUUGCCCUCGAAUAUGGGUUUUCACCGAUCAGCAACUCCUCACCAACGUUCACCACCCUUGGAUCUGCCCUCUCACCGAUCGGCGACUCCUCACAUGCUCUCUCUCCGGUCGAAUAGUCCUUCGGGUUCCAUGGAGAGAACCCCCCACGAGUGGUUGCAAGAAUGAAAGAAGAAGAAAGGAACCCUACCUUUUUUCAGAUGGACGACUCAAAUCCACAUUUCGGAUCUGACAGCUAUUAUUCAGCUAUGGUUUCAGUUGAAUCCAAUGGCUCCCAACAUGGCAUGAUGGCAUCUUCUUUUAAGG
rnacentral:lncRNA from 1 species